rnacentral:rRNA from 1 species
AUUGAACGCUGGCGGUAUGCUUAACACAUGCAAGUCGAACGGAAACGAUACUAGCUUGCUAGUAGGCGUCGAGUGGCGGACGGGUGAGUAACGCGUAGGAAUCUGCCUGAUAGUGGGGGAUAGCCCGAAGAAAUUCGGAUUAAUACCGCAUAAUCUAUUCGUAGUAAAGUGGGGGACUUUCGAGCCUCACGCUAUCAGAUGAGCCUGCGUAAGAUUAGCUAGUUGGUAGGGUAAAAGCCUACCAAGGCAACGAUCUUUAGCUGGUCUGAGAGGAUGAUCAGCCACAUCGGGACUGAGACACGGCCCGAACUCCUACGGGAGGCAGCAGUGGGGAAUAUUGGACAAUGGGGGCAACCCUGAUCCAGCAAUACCGCGUGUGUGAAGAAGGCCUGAGGGUUGUAAAGCACUUUCAAUUGUGAAGAAAAGUUAACGGUUAAUAACCGUUAGCCUUGACGUUAACUUUAGAAGAAGCACCGGCUAACUCCGUGCCAGCAGCCGCGGUAAUACGGAGGGUGCAAGCGUUAAUCGGAAUUACUGGGCGUAAAGCGUGCGUAGGCGGUUUAUUAAGUCAGAUGUGAAAGCCCCGGGCUUAACCUGGGAACUGCAUUUGAAACUGGUCAACUAGAGUAUGGUAGAGGAAAGUGGAAUUUCUGGUGUAGCGGUGAAAUGCGUAGAUAUCAGAAGGAACAUCAAUGGCGAAGGCAGCUUUCUGGACCAAUACUGACGCUGAGGUACGAAAGCGUGGGUAGCAAACAGGAUUAGAUACCCUGGUAGUCCACGCCGUAAACGAUGAUAACUAGCCGUUGGGGGGAUUUACCCUUUAGUGGCGAAGCUAACGCGUUAAGUUAUCCGCCUGGGGAGUACGGCCGCAAGGUUAAAACUCAAAGGAAUUGACGGGGACCCGCACAAGCGGUGGAGCAUGUGGUUUAAUUCGAUGCAACGCGAAGAACCUUACCUGGUCUUGACAUCCUGCGAACUUUCUAGAAAUAGGUUGGUGCCUUCGGGAACGCAGUGACAGGUGUUGCAUGGCUGUCGUCAGCUCGUGUCGUGAGAUGUUGGGUUAAGUCCCGUAACGAGCGCAACCCCUAUCCUUAUUUGCCAGCACGUCAUGGUGGGAACUAUAAGGAGACUGCCGGUGAUAAACCGGAGGAAGGCGGGGACGGCGUCAAGUCAUCAUGGCCCUUACGACCAGGGCUACACACGUGCUACAAUGGGAAGGACAAAGAGCCGCGAAGCCGCGAGGUGUAGCUAAUCUCAGAAACCUUUUCGUAGUCCGGAUUGGAGUCUGCAACUCGACUCCAUGAAGUCGGAAUCGCUAGUAAUCGUAGAUCAGAAUGCUACGGUGAAUACGUUCCCGGGUCUUGUACACACCGCCCGUCAUACCAUGGGAGUGGGUUGCACCAGAAGUGGCUAGUCUAACUUAGUGAGGACGGUCACCACGGUGUGAUUCAUGACUGGGGU